UACGAAGGGGGCUAGCGUUGCUCGGAAUCACUGGGCGUAAAGCGCACGUAGGCGGAUUGCUAAGUCAGGGGUGAAAUCCUGGAGCUCAACUCCAGAACUGCCUUGAUACUGGUGAUGCUUCGAGUCCGGGAGAGGUGAGUGGAACUGCGAGUGUAGAGGUGAAAUUCGUAGAUAUUCGCAAGAACACCAGUGGCGAAGGCGGCUCACUGGCCCGUACUGACGCUGAGGUGGCGAAAGCGUGGGGAGCGAACAGG
rnacentral:rRNA from 1 species